rnacentral:lncRNA from 1 species
UUGUUCCCAAAAAAGUUCUUCUUUGUCCGCUUCUAAAUUUAGUCCUAUUUGAGUCUCCGUAAUUUCUGCCAGCACCUCAUCGGAAAUAUCCUGUUUAUACAACAUAGACAGUCGAUUUUCUAAAUCCAGCCUUUUCUUCUUGUCCGCCUUAUCAGUCAACUUCCUCCAUCGGAGAAUUUGACUGCCCAACUUACCUAAUUUAUCCAGAACACUACCACAGUUUUCACCCCACCAUUUUGAAAUCAGCUCUUCAAAA